rnacentral:rRNA from 1 species
UGGGGGAAGUGGCGAAAGGGGCAGUAAGGCGUGGGUAACCUACCCCGGGGACGUGGAUAGCCGGCCUAACGGCCGGGUAAUACGCGGCGAUUCAGCGAGAGGGCAUCCUUUUGCUGGGAAACGAAUUUCGCCUCGGGAGGGGCUCACGUGAUAUUAGCUUGUUGGCGGGGUAACGGCCCACCAAGGCGAAGAUGUCUAGCGGGUGUGAGAGCACGACCCGCGCCACUGGCACUGAGACACUGGCCAGACACCUACGGGUGGCUGCAGUCGAGGAUCUUUGGCAAUGGGCGCAAGCCUGACCAAGCGACGCCGCGUGUGCGAUGAAGGCCUUCGGGUUGUAAAGCACUGUCGAGGGGGAUAAAGCCAGCAAUGGUUGAUUGAUCCCUGGAGGAAGCACGGGCUAAGUUCGUGCCAGCAGCCGCGGUAAGACGAACCGUGCGAACGUUGUUCGGAAUCACUGGGCUUAAAGGGCGCGUAGGCGGCAGACCAAGUCCGGGGUGAAAGCCCCCAGCUCAACUGGGGAAGUGCCUUGGAUACUGAUUUGCUCGAGGGAGGUAGGGGUCGAGGGAACUUCUGGUGGAGCGGUGAAAUGCGUUGAUAUCAGAAGGAACGCCGGUGGCGAAAGCGCUCGACUGGAUCUCUUCUGACGCUGAGGCGCGAAAGCUAGGGGAGCAAACGGGAUUAGAUACCCCGGUAGUCCUAGCCCUAAACGAUGGGUACUAGAUUGUGGACUAGUCAUGGGUUCACAGUCGAAGCAAAAGUGUUAAGUACCCCGCCUGGGGAGUAUGGUCGCAAGGC